rnacentral:rRNA from 1 species
UACAUAGGGGGCGAGCGUUAUCCGGAAUUAUUGGGCGUAAAGCGUGCGUAGGCGGUUUGUUAAGUCGGAGGUCAAAUGCUGAGGCUCAACCUCAGUACGCUUCCGAUACUGGCUCACUAGAGUAUGGUAGAGGUAAGUGGAAUUCCAUGUGUAGCGGUAAAAUGCGUAGAUAUAUGGAGGAACACCAGUGGCGAAGGCGGCUUACUAGGCCAGCACUGACGCUGAGGCACGAAAGCGUGGGUAGCAAACA